AGUCCCAUCACUAAGAGCACGGCUGAUCCAGAGCCUAACGUCCCAGAGUGCAGAGUUUGUGAUGGAGGAGCACAUGCACAGCACUGGACUGCAGACCCAAGAGAGACACUUGUUCCUUUUCAGUGACAAACUCAUCAUCACUAAAUCAAAGUUAGUCCUCAGCAUCUAAAAAUAAUGUCCACUUACUGAACAAGAUGAAUAUGAAUAGAUGAGAACUAACAAUGGGAUAUUAGAAGGAGAUGAUCGUGGACUUCAGGAAACAGCAGAGGGAGCACCCCCCUAUCCACAUCGAUGGGACAGUAGUGGAGAGGGUAGAAAGUUUUAAGUUCCUGGGCGUACACAUCACGUACAAACUGAAUUGGUCCACCCACACAGACAGCGUGGUGAAGAAGGCGCAGCAGCGCCUCUUCAACCUCAGGAGGCUGAAGAAAUUUGGCUUGUCACCAAAAGCACGCACAAACUUUACAGAUGCACAAUCGAGAGCAUCCUGUCGGGCUGUAUCACCGCCUGGUACGGCAACUGCUCCACCCACAACCGUAAGGCUCUCCAGAUGGUAGUGAGGUCUGCACAACGCAUCACCGGGGGACAAACUACCUGCCCUCCAGGACACCUACACCACCCGAUGUCACAGGAAGGCCAUAAAGAUCAUCAAGGACAACAACCACCCGAGCCACUGCCUGUUCACCCACCCUAUCAUCCAGAAGGCGAGUUGGGUUCUUGCAUUGAACUGGUUGCUGAGAGAAAACUGACCCUAAAGAACUCCUUUUUCAUUGUCUGGCCUACCACCAAUUACGUGGGGACUCUCAGCUCAUCUGAGGCAAAGGAGAAAUGUCUUUCAGCUUUACAAUGGUAAGGAAAUACUUACAAAACCCAG